rnacentral:rRNA from 1 species
GAUGAACGCUGGCGGCGUGCCUAAUACAUGCAAGUCGAGCGAACGGACGAGAAGCUUGCUUCUCUGAUGUUAGCGGCGGACGGGUGAGUAACACGUGGAUAACCUACCUAUAAGACUGGGAUAACUUCGGGAAACCGUAGCUAAUACCGGAUAAUAUUUUGAACCGCAUGGUUCAAAAGUGAAAGACGGUCUUGCUGUCACUUAUAGAUGGAUCCGCGCUGCAUUAGCUAGUUGGUAAGGUAACGGCUUACCAAGGCAACGAUGCAUAGCCGACCUGAGAGGGUGAUCGGCCACACUGGAACUGAGACACAGUCCAGACUCCUACGGGAGGCAGCAGUAGGGAAUCUUCCGCAAUGGGCGAAAGCCUGACGGAGCAACGACGCGUGAGUGAUGAAGGUCUUCGGAUCGUAAAACUCUGUUAUUAGGGAAGAACAUAUGUGUAAGUAACUGUGCACAUCUUGACGGUACCUAAUCAGAAAGCCACGGCUAACUACGUG